UAGCGUUUGAUAGCCCCUAAGUAGGUCGAUCCACAUCUAGAAUACAUGCGACAAUCUCAGGUCUAAGGACAAAGCGUAUAUGUUGUUUAAAGAGAGAACUACUUCUCGUGUUGGGUCAGUCCUAGCACAUGUCUCCACAUGUGUCCACAUUAUUAGUUCAACAUCUCCAUGUCCAUGACUUGUGAAACAUAGUCAUCAACUAAUACAUGUGCUAGUCUAAUAUUCAUGUGUGUCCUCACAUGAACUCCGACUAGGGACAACUUUAGAAUAACCAUACAAGUAAAGAGUUUCACACACAAUUCACAUAAUUGCAAAUCAAUUCAAGUAGCCUUCAAUGGAUAUUCAAUGAACACAACAUACAAAUCAUGGAUACAAAUGGAAUAUCAUCAUCUCUAUGAUUGCCUCUAGGGCAUACCUCCAACAGUCUCCCACUUGCACUAGAGUCAAUCUAGAAG
rnacentral:lncRNA from 1 species